rnacentral:rRNA from 1 species
GAGUUUGAUCCUGGGUUCAGGAUGAACGGUAGCGGAACGCCUAACACAUGCAAGUCGAACGGAUUCUGCGUUGUAGCAAUACAUAGUAGAAUUAGUGGCAAACGAGCGAGUAACGCGUGCCUAACCUGCCCUUAAGAUGGGAACAACUACGGAGACGUAGCUAAAUCCCAAUAUGCUCACGAUGGUGAAAUGCCGAUGCGAGGAAAGAUUUAUCGCUUAAGGAGGGGGGCGCGUCCUAUCAGGUAGUUGGUUGAGGUAACGGCUCACCAAGCCUAUGACAGGUAGCUGGUCUGAGAUGAUGUCCAGCCGCGAUGGGACUGAGAUACGGCCCAUACUCCUACGGGAGGCAGCAGUGGGGAAUCUUGCACAAUGGACGAAAGUCUGAUGCAGCGAUCCCGCGUGAAGGAUGAAGCAUUACGGUGUGUAAACUUCUUUUUUGGUGGAAGACGAAUGACGGUACACCAAGAAUAAGAGACGGCUAACUACGAGCCAGCAGCCGCGGUAAUACGUAGGUCUCAAGCGUUAUCCGGAUUUACUGGGCGUAAAGUAUCCGUAGCCUGAUAUGUAAGUCUGUUUUCAAAUCCCACGACUCAAUCGUGGAAAGGGAAUGGAUACUGCAUAUCUAGAAGUUAUUGGGGGUUAGUGGAAUUUCCGGUGGAGCGGUGAAAUGCGUUGAUAUCGGAAAGAACGCCGAAAGCGAAAGCAGCUAACUAUGAUUAACUUGACGGUGAGGGAUGAAAGUUUGGGUAGCAAACGGGAUUAGAUACCCCGGUAGUCCAAACUGUAAAUUAUGCUUCCUAGGUGUUUCGAUCCUUGUGGUCGGAGUGCCGUAAUCUAACGAGUUAAGCAAGUCGCCUGGGUAGUAUAUUCGCAAGAAUGAAACUCAAAGGGAUAGGCGGGGGAAC